UACGGGGGGGGCAAGCGUUGUUCGGAAUUACUGGGCGUAAAGGGCUCGUAGGUGGCCAACUAAGUCAGCCGUGAAAUCCCUCGGCUUAACCGGGGAACUGCGUCUGAUACUGGAUGGCUUGAGUUCGGGAGAGGGAUGCGGAAUUCCAGGUGUAGCGGUGAAAUGCGUAGAUAUCUGGAGGAACACCGGUGGCGAAGGCGGCAUCCUGGACCGACACUGACACUGAGGAGCGAAAGCCAGGGGAGCAAACGGG
rnacentral:rRNA from 1 species